GACGAACGCUGGCGGUGUGCUUAACACAUGCAAGUCGAACGGUAAGGCCCUUUCGGGGGUACACGAGUGGCGAACGGGUGAGUAACACGUGAGUAACCUGCCCUCAUCUCUGGGAUAACAGUCGGAAACGGUUGCUAAUACUGGAUAUGAGCUUGCAAGGCAUCUUGUGGGUUGGAAAGAUUUUUUUGGUUGGGGAUGGACUCGCGGCCUAUCAGCUUGUUGGUGAGGUAGUGGCUCACCAAGGCUUCGACGGGUAGCCGGCCUGAGAGGGCGACCGGCCACAUUGGGACUGAGAUACGGCCCAACCUCCUACGGGAGGCAGCAGUGGGGAAUAUUGCACAAUGGACGGAAGUCUGAUGCAGCAACGCCGCGUGCGGGAUGACGGCCUUCGGGUUGUAAACCGCUUUCAAUUGUGACGAAGCUUUUUGUGACGGUAGCAGUAGAAGAAGCACCGGCUAACUACGUG
rnacentral:rRNA from 1 species